AUCUAGCUGACGAGUUUAAAAUAGGACGAAACGCGCAUCUUGAAU
rnacentral:hammerhead_ribozyme from 1 species